rnacentral:rRNA from 1 species
UGAGGGGGGCUGCUCCUAGUACGAGAGGACCGGAGUGGACGCAUCACUGGUGUUCGGGUUGUCAUGCCAAUGGCAGUGCCCGGUAGCUAAAUGCGGAAGAGAUAAGUGCUGAAAGCAUCUAAGCACGAAACUUGCCCCGAGAUGAGUUCUCCCUGACUCCUUGAGAGUCCUGAAGGAACGUUGAAGACGACGACGUUGAUAGGCCGGGUGUGUAAGCGCAGCGAUGCGUUGAGCUAACCGGUACUAAUGAACCGUGAGGCUUAACCUU